GGCAAGGUGGCCGAGCGGUCUAAGGCGCACGGGUCAGGUUCCAAUCUGAUCAUCUCACUCCGUGUCAUUAAUUUGGCGUGGGUUCGAAUCCCACCCUUGUCA